AGAGUUUGAUCCUGGCUCAGGAUGAACGCUGGCGGCGUGCUUAACACAUGCAAGUCGAACGAAGAUACUUAAAAUGAGAGCUUCGGCAGGAUUUUUAUUUAUCUUAGUGGCGGACGGGUGAGUAACGUGUGGGCAACCUGCCCUAUACUGGGGAAUAAUCACUGGAAACGGUGACUAAUACCGCAUGUCAUUACGGAAGGGCAUCCUUCUGUAAGAAAAGGAGUAAUUCGGUAUAGGAUGGGCCCGCAUCUGAUUAGCUAGUUGGUGAGAUAACAGCCCACCAAGGCGACGAUCAGUAGCCGGCCUGAGAGGGUGAUCGGCCACAUUGGGACUGAGACACGGCCCAAACUCCUACGGGAGGCAGCAGUGGGGAAUAUUGCACAAUGGGGGAAACCCUGAUGCAGCAACGCCGCGUGAAGGAAGAAGGUUUUCGGAUCGUAAACUUCUAUCAACAGGGACGAAGAAAGUGACGGUACCUGAAUAAGAAGCCCCGGCUAACUACGUGCCAGCAGCCGCGGUAAUACGUAGGGGGCAAGCGUUAUCCGGAAUUACUGGGUGUAAAGGGAGCGUAGGCGGCACGCCAAGCCAGAUGUGAAAGCCCGAGGCUUAACCUCGGGAUUGCAUUUGGAACUGGCGAGCUAGAGUACAGGAGAGGAAAGCGGAAUUCCUAGUGUAGCGGUGAAAUGCGUAGAUAUUAGGAAGAACACCAGUGGCGAAGGCGGCUUUCUGGACUGAAACUGACGCUGAGGCUCGAAAGCGUGGGGAGCAAACAGGAUUAGAUACCCUGGUAGUCCACGCCGUAAACGAUGAGUGCUAGGUGUCGGGGAGGAAUCCUCGGUGCCGCAGCUAACGCAAUAAGCACUCCACCUGGGGAGUACGACCGCAAGGUUGAAACUCAAAG
rnacentral:rRNA from 1 species